GAUGAAGAACGCAGCUAAAUGCGAUAAGUAAUGUGAAUUGCAGAAUUCAGUGAAUCAUCGAAUCUUUGAACGCACAUUGCGCCCGCCAGUAUUCUGGCGGGCAUGCCUGUUCGAGCGUCAUUUCAACCCUCAGGCCCCCAGUGCCUGGCGUUGGGGAUCGGCGUGGGCGGCGACGGCUCUCCGGAGCCCGAACCAAUGCCUGCCGGCCCCGAAAUUCAGUGGCGGUCUCGCUGUAGUCCCCCUCUGCGUAGUAGCACAACUCGCAUUGGAGCUCGGCGGUGGCCAUGCCGUAAAACACCCCACUUCUGAAAGUUGACCUCGGAUCAGGUAGGAAUACCCGCUGAACUUAAGCAUAUCAAUAAGCGGAGGA
rnacentral:misc_RNA from 1 species